CAUGGUUUUUUGAUUAUAAUCUAAAAUUUGGUCUGCUCAAUGAUUAAUUAAAUUGCCGCAGUAUUUUAACUGUGCGAAGGUAGCAUAAUAAUUAGUUUCUUGAUUAGAAGCUGGAAUGAAUGAUUGGACGAUAAAUUGACUGUCUCUAUAUAAUUAAUUUAUUAAUUUUAUUUUUAAGUUAAAAAGCUUAGAUUUUGUUAAAAGACGAGAAGACCCUAUAGAGUUUAAUAGAAGGAAUAAUUACUUGAUUUGGUAAAUUUAUAUUAUUUUUUUUAUUUGAUUGGGGUGAUCUAAAAAUUUAAUUAAUUUUUUUACAAUUUAAUUUUUAAUUUAAAAAUUUGUAAUCUAUAAUUUUAAAAUUAAAACAAAUUACCUUAGGGAUAACAGCGUAAUUUUCUUUUAAAGUUCUUAUUGAAAAGAAAGUUUGCGACCUCGAUGUUGGAUUAAAAUUUAUAUUUGGUGCAGUAACUGAGUUAUUAAGUCUGUUCGACUUUUGAAAUU
rnacentral:rRNA from 1 species